AGCGCUGGCGGCGUGCUUAACACAUGCAAGUCGAACCUUUAGGCCCUGCUUUUGUGGGGUGCUCGAGUGGCGAACGGGUGUGUAACACGUGAGUAACCUGCCCUUGACUUUGGGAUAACUUCAGGAAACUGGGGCUAAUACCGGAUAGGAGCUCCUGCUGCAUGGUGGGGGUUGGAAAGUUUCGGCGGUUGGGGAUGGACUCGCGGCUUAUCAGCUUGUUGGUGGGGUAGUGGCUUACCAAGGCUUUGACGGGUAGCCGGCCUGAGAGGGUGACCGGCCACAUUGGGACUGAGAUACGGCCCAGACUCCUACGGGAGGCAGCAGUGGGGAAUAUUGCACAAUGGGCGGAAGCCUGAUGCAGCAACGCCGCGUGCGGGAUGACGGCCUUCGGGUUGUAAACCGCUUUCGCCUGUGACGAAGCGUGAGUGACGGUAAUGGGUAAAGAAGCACCGGCUAACUACGUGCCAGCAGCCGCGGUGAUACGUAGGGUGCGAGCGUUGUCCGGAUUUAUUGGGCGUAAAGGGCUCGUAGGUGGUUGAUCGCGUCGGAAGUGUAAUCUUGGGGCUUAACCCUGAGCGUGCUUUCGAUACGGGUUGACUUGAGGAAGGUAGGGGAGAAUGGAAUUCCUGGUGGAGCGGUGGAAUGCGCAGAUAUCAGGAGGAACACCAGUGGCGAAGGCGGUUCUCUGGGCCUUUCCUGACGCUGAGGAGCGAAAGCGUGGGGAGCGAACAGGCUUAGAUACCCUGGUAGUCCACGCUGUAAACGGUGGGUACUAGGUGUGGGGUCCAUUCCACGGGUUCCGUGCCGUAGCUAACGCUUUAAGUACCCCGCCUGGGGAGUACGGCCGCAAGGCUAAAACUCAAAGGAAUUGACGGGGCCCCGCACAAGCGGCGGAGCAUGCGGAUUAAUUCGAUGCAACGCGUAGAACCUUACCUGGGUUUGACAUGGAUCGGGAGUGCUCAGAGAUGGGUGUGCCUCUUUUGGGGUCGGUUCACAGGUGGUGCAUGGCUGUCGUCAGCUCGUGUCGUGAGAUGUUGGGUUAAGUCCCGCAACGAGCGCAACCCUUGUUCACUGUUGCCAGCACGUUAUGGUGGGGACUCAGUGGAGACCGCCGGGGUCAACUCGGAGGAAGGUGGGGAUGACGUCAAGUCAUCAUGCCCCUUAUGUCCAGGGCUUCACGCAUGCUACAAUGGCUGGUACAGAGAGUGGCGAGCCUGUGAGGGUGAGCGAAUCUCGGAAAGCCGGUCUCAGUUCGGAUUGGGGUCUGCAACUCGACCUCAUGAAGUCGGAGUCGCUAGUAAUCGCAGAUCAGCAACGCUGCGGUGAAUACGUUCCCGGGGCUUGUACACACCGCCCGUCAAGUCAUGAAAGUUGGUAACACCCGAAGCCGGUGGCCUAACCGUUGUGGGGGAGCCGUCGAAGGUGGGACUGGUGA
rnacentral:rRNA from 1 species